AUUGAACGCUGGCGGCAGGCCUAACACAUGCAAGUCGAACGAGUGGCGGACGGGUGAGUAAUGUCUGGGAAACUGCCCGAUGGAGGGGGAUAACUACUGGAAACGGUAGCUACUACCGCAUACCAUCGGAUGUGCCCAGAUGGGAUUGGCUAGUAGGUGGGGUAACGGCUCACCAAGGCGACGAUCCCUAGCUGGUCUGCGAGGCUGCCAAGCCACACUGGAACUGCGACAAGGUCAAGAGUCCUACGGGAGGCAGCAGUGGGGAACAUUGCACAAUGGGCGGAAGCCUGAUGCAGCCAGGCCGCGUGUAUGAAGAAGGCCUUCGGGUGGUAAAGUACUUUCAGCGAGGAGGCGUUACUCGCAGAAGAAGCACCGGCUAACUCCGGGCCAGCAGCCGCGGUAAUAC
rnacentral:rRNA from 1 species